AUUGAACGCUGGCGGCAGGCCUAACACAUGCAAGUCGAACGAGUGGCGGACGGGUGAGUAAUGUCUGGGAAACUGCCUGAUGGAGGGGGAUAACUACUGGAAACGGUGGCUAAUACCGCAUACUAUCGGAUGUACCCAUAUGGGAUUAGCUAGUAGGUGGGGUAAAGGCUCACCUAGGCGACGAUCCCUAGCUGGUCUGAGAGGAUGAUCAGCCACACUGGAACUGAGACACGGUCCAGACUCCUACGGGAGGCAGCAGUGGGGAAUAUUGCACAAUGGGCGCAAGCCUGAUCCAGCCAUGCCGCGUGUGUGAAGAAGGUCUUCGGAUUGUAAAGUACUUUAAGUUGGGAGGCGUUACCAGCAGAAUAAGCACCGGCUAACUCCGUGCCAGCAGCCGCGGUAAUAC
rnacentral:rRNA from 1 species